rnacentral:rRNA from 1 species
AGAGCGAACGCUGGCGGCAGGCCUAACACAUGCAAGUCGAGCGCGUGUAGCAAUACACGAGCGGCAGACGGGAGAGUAACACGUGGGAACGCGCCCUUCGGUUCGGAAUAACUCAGGGAAACUUGAGCUAAUACCGGAUACGCCCUUGCGGGGAAAGAUUUAUUGCCGAAGGAACGGCCCGCGUCCGAUUAGCUAGUUGGUGAGGUAACGGCUCACCAAGGCGACGAUCGGUAGCUGGUCUGAGAGGAUGACCAGCCUCACUGGGACUGAGACACGGCCCAGACUCCUACGGGAGGCAGCAGUGGGGAAUAUUGGACAAUGGGCGCAAGCCUGAUCCAGCCAUGCCGCGUGGAUGAUGAAGGCCUUAGGGUUGUAAAGUCCUUUUAACGGGGAGAUAAUGACGGUACCGUAGAAUAAGCCCCGGCUAACUUCGUGCCAGCAGCCGC